UCAGUCGGCCGGACGGCCGCUCCGGCACGUGCCGAAAGGCCGCCGGGGAGGAAAGUCCGGGCUCCCUUGACAUGCGGUGCCGGAUAACGUCCGGCGGGGGUGACCCCAGGGAAAGUGCCACAGAGAACGAACCGCUUCCUCCUCGGAGGAAGUAAGGGUGAAAAGGUGCGGUAAGAGCGCACCGCGGUUCCGGCAACGGAGCCGGCAUGGCAAACCCCACCGGGAGCAAAACCGAAUAGGGACGGCUUAAGCGGGCUGUUCGCUUUGAGCGAUAACGCCGCGGGGCGAUGUCAGGCCCGCCGUCCGGGUAGGUUGCUCGAGGCCAUGUGCAAACACGGUCCCAGAGGAAUGGUCGUCACGUAUCGUUCGCGCAAGCGGACGGUGCCCUACAGAACCCGGCUUACAGGCCGGCUGAUACU
rnacentral:RNase_P_RNA from 6 species